CCCCCNGGACAAAGACUGACGCUCAGGUGCGAAAGCGUGGGGAGCAAACAGGAUUAGAUACCNUGGUAGUNCACGCUNUAAACGAUGUCGACUUGGAGGUUGUGCCCUNGAGGCGUGGCUUCCGGAGCUAACGCGUUAAGUCGACCGCCUGGGGAGUACGGCCGCAAGGUUAAAACUCAAAUGAAUUGACGGGGGCCCGCACAAGCGGUGGAGCAUGUGGUUUAAUUCGAUGCAACGCGAAGAACCUUACCUACUCUUGACAUCCACGGAACUUGCCAGAGAUGGCUUGGUGCCUUCGGGAACCGUGAGACAGGUGCUGCAUGGCUGUCGUCAGCUCGUGUUGUGAAAUGUUGGGUUAAGUCCCGCAACGAGCGCAACCCUUAUCCUUUGUCGCCAGCACUUCGGGUGGGAACUCAAAGGAGACUGCCGGUGAUAAACCGGAGGAAGGUGGGGAUGACGUCAAGUCAUCAUGGCCCUUACGAGUAGGGCUACACACGUGCUACAAUGGCGUAUACAAAGAGAAGCAAACUCGCGAGAGCCAGCGGACCUCAUAAAGUACGUCGUAGUCCGGAUUGGAGUCUGCAACUCGACUCCAUGAAGUCGGAAUCGCUAGUAAUCGUAGAUCAGAAUGCUACGGUGAAUACGUUCCCGGGCCUUGUACACACCGCCCGUCACACCAUGGGAGUGGGUUGCAAAAGAAGUAGGUAGCUUAACCUUCGGGAGGGCGCUUACCACUUUGUGAUUCAUGACUGGGGUGAAGUCGUAACAAGGUAGCCU
rnacentral:rRNA from 1 species